rnacentral:rRNA from 1 species
GCCGACCCGCGAUCCGGCGGCGUUAUUCCCAUGACCCGCCGGGCAGCGUGCGGGAAACCACGAGUCUUUGGGUUCCGGGGGGAGUAUGGUUGCAAAGCUGAAACUUAAAGGAAUUGACGGAAGGGCACCACCAGGAGUGGAGCCUGCGGCUUAAUUUGACUCAACACGGGAAACCUCACCCGGCCCGGACACGGAAAGGAUUGACAGAUUGAAAGCUCUUUCUCGAUUCUGUGGGUGGUGGUGCAUGGCCG